UACGGGGGGUGCAAGCGUUGUUCGGAAUUACUGGGCGUAAAGGGUUUGUAGGUGGCUUGCUAAGUCCGAUGUGAAAUCCCUCAGCUUAACUGGGGAACUGCGUCUGAGACUGGCGAGCUUGAGUGCAGGAGAGGAAAGCGGAAUUCCAGGUGUAGCGGUGAAAUGCGUAGAUAUCUGGAGGAACACCGGUGGCGAAGGCGGCGUUCUGGACUGCAACUGACACUGAGAAACGAAAGCCAGGGGAGCAAACAGG
rnacentral:rRNA from 1 species